rnacentral:rRNA from 1 species
UACGUAGGGCGCGAGCGUUGUCCGGAUUUAUUGGGCGUAAAGAGCUCGUAGGCGGCUUGUCGCGUCGAAUGUGAAAACUCGGGGCUCAACCCCGCGCUUGCAUUCGAUACGGGCAGGCUCGAGUUCGGUAGGGGAGACUGGAAUUCCUGGUGUAGCGGUGAAAUGCGCAGAUAUCAGGAGGAACACCGGUGGCGAAGGCGGGUCUCUGGGCCGAUACUGACGCUGAGGAGCGAAAGCGUGGGGGGCGAACAGG